rnacentral:lncRNA from 1 species
AAUUGAUAUUACAAAACGUUCACAAAUGAAUGGAAAAUCUGAGAAUACAUUAUUAUCUGAGAAAACAUUAGCUUACCCUAGCAUUUACUCUAAUUUUUUUGAAAAUACCAGAGAGUACAAUUUAGAAAUAGUAUACCGAGAAGACACUUGUGCUCUCAUUCACAUUUUAUUUAUGAGUUCAGUUAUGAGACAACAUUUUAUUAACAAAGUAACUUUGAACAUGUUAUCCUACUUCUCUCUUCAGUCAUCUUAUCAGUAAAUAAGGUUAAUAUUGCUCCUAUCAUGAGGUUGCUGUGAUACUUCAUUAAUUUACUACGCAUAAACUCACUACAUGUGUCAUCAGCAGAUGGCAACCCAAAUUAUGCAAUAGCUAUUAUUCUCAUUAUUGACCAAAUGAAGGGUGAAAUAAGUUUUCUAAAACAAGUUGACUACUCAAGUUUUCCCUGUUUGUUUUCUUUAGGUGUCUUCAAUGCCCUUGGUUUGCCUGUGACUGAGUGUCCACUGGGGUUGAAUGCCAAAGGACUUCCUGUAGGCAUCCAGGUUGUGGCUGGACCCUUUAAUGAUCAUCUUACCCUGGCUGUGGCUCAGUACUUGGAGAAAAGUUUUGGUGGCUGGGUAUGUCCUGGAAAAGUUUAGCAGGACAUUUUCCAAGGUCAGAGUGUCUGUGCACAUGCACAUGCACAUGCACAUAUGUGCAUGCAUGCACAUUUCUAUUGGUUGCAUGAAAUCAAGCACCAGCAAGCAUGUAGAUUGAAAAUAUUUGGAGAAUAUUUUUCUUCAGUUAUUCUUUCUAAUUUUAUUUCCUGCACUAACUUUUGUUUGCAUUAUAAUGGUAAUACUUGAUUUCCACUUUACUGGAUAAAGUGUACAUGUAAAUGAAUAAGUGCAAUAAAGUUUAAUAGAUGAUGUAUUGGUGUCUAAUUUGUG